CUGCGAUUUCUGCUACUUCUGCGAUUUCUGUGAUUUCUGCGACUUACCACCGUAUGAAAAAGCUACAUCUGUCCACACAGAAAAUUGCAUCUCAACAAACCUGUCAUUGGUACCCGAACUACAUUUCAGUCACUCAGUAAAGUGAUAACUCAAAAUAUCAUUGUCAGCAGAUCUGGAGAAAUUACCACUGCGUCUUUAGACCAUUUUCGUCAGACGAGAGACACAGUUCUGGUUGCUGUACGUAUCUAUCCACAUCAAGGCUGUUGGGGAGAGACUCGUGAAGAUUCAAGAGAGCUCUUAGAGGAUUUGCAGUUUAAAAGUGACAUUAUUGCGAAAUAAAUGUGCAGAUGAG